GAUGAUCGGAAAGAUCGGACUUGGACUGUCUUCGUUACUCCUCCCCAAACCCCUAAACCCUCUUCCUCCCAUUCACAUCACCAACAAUCAUCUCUCUCCUUCGAUUCUCCACCCAAGAAAAAAGAUUAUCCGGUAAUUCAGCCGCCGCCAGCUCAAUCUCUUCCACCCGUUCUCCCGCCACCGGUGAACUACAAUCCUAAGUCCGACGCCUCAUCAUUUGCUUCCUUAAGUCGUUUUGUUUUUGUUUUUUUUUAAUUCUUUGCCCCCUUCUGCUGCCUUCUCC
rnacentral:lncRNA from 1 species